GAGAGCUCUCAUUUCCCCCCCUUGCUCGGGAUGGUGCCACAGGAGGCUGUGCGGGCCCCGCUCCGCUUCGAAUGGAUACAGUUAAGCUAAUGAUCUCGAGAGGAUAUUGUCCUGGGUAAGAGUGGAGCCUACACCCAAAAACAAGAUUACCUGAAAGAGAAAAGAAAGGGGGAAAACACACAGAGAUACAGUCAGGGAGGCCACAUGAAGAUGGAGGCAGAGACAGGAGUGAUGAGCCUGCAAGCCAAGGAAUGUCAAGGGCUGCCAGCAGCCAUGAGAAGCUGAGAGACACAGAGAGCGAGUCCUCUGCCAGAGCCUCCAGAAGGAACUAACCCUGUCAAUAUCUUGAUUUCGGACUUCUGGACUCCAGAACUAUAACCCUCCUUCCUCCACCUCACAAAAACUCACAAGCUGCAACCCUUCUGAUGUCCACUCCCACACAAACGAGCUUCAGGCCUGUUUCAAGCUUGGUUGGAGAAUACUUCUGAGACUUUCCAAGAGUGCAGGAAAUUCCACCCCCCAAAUAUGGCAUGUUGGCAUGCUGAGUAUUUUAAGCUGAAGGAAACAGAGAAAACCACAGAAGCAGAAAGUUCUUUCUGACCUCUCUUGAAGACCCUCAUGUGACAGGUGUCCUGCCCUACAUCCAGAGAGAAGGAAUGUUCCACAGAGAGACUAAGAAGAAUCUGAAGAAUCAGGCCUUACUAAGUGCCCUCCAGUGGAUGCUGUGGGGCACCACCUCCUUGAGGACCAAGGCACUCCAGCUGCCAGGAAUAUUGGCUGCUAACCUCACACAGCUGAGCCUUCCAUGAAAAUUGCUCUCUGCCAAAGAGAACUUCCUAGUCCAAGGUCAUGUCUACUCUCCAGAGAAAUGCACUGACCCUGCACUCUACAGGACACUAUGCUCAUUCCAAAUGCUAAGAUGUGACUGGAGUGAUUUGCACCCGGAUGCCUAGACCCGCCAUCUGCUCAAAGACUGCUCAGAAAGCCCUCCCAUGCAUUCCCCCCGCUGCAUAUCAGCCCACUCUGCCUGCAGCUGCUGUCUGCAGGACUUCAUAUCUAUGCCACACUGUUUAAAAGCUGUGCUUCAAGAAAUCACAAAAACAUUUUCCUGCACCUACUACACAGCCUGAGUGCAGCAUAAGUUGACCUUGCUUGCUAAGAAAUGGGGCAAGAAAUGCUUUUUUGUGUGUGUCACGUCUGUUUGUUUUUCAAGUAAGAGAGGAAAGCAUUAGGCAGAUGGAAUGUACAUGUGAGGAUGAGGAGACAGAAAACAAGUAGCCCUUUCCAUCAAGAUAGAGGGUUUUCUGGGAUCGCUGGCUCUUGAAUGUCACUCCUGAUUUCUCUUUCCAAGGCACUGUACCACCAGCCUACUGAGAUUGUGUGGGAGCUUUCAUGGAGGUUGUAUUUCACUAAUGAAAAUAAAUUUGUGCAUAAU
rnacentral:lncRNA from 1 species